GCGAGCUGUCGAAUUCUUGAGCGAGGCAAAAAGGAUUACCAAUGCAUCAAAUGGUAUAGUUCCAACUUCCAAGGGUUGGAUGCAAAUUGUAGGUACACGAGUUCAUAUAAACUAGUAUUCUGAAAUGCCACAAUUUGUUACAUAGUCAUAUUCAAGAUAUGCUUCUUAUGUUGUAAAAAUUGCAUUUGUGAAGUUCACUUCAUUUUGUUGGUAGUUUGUAUUUAUCUUGUAGUUCUUUCAA